CAGGCAGUGUCCGUUAGGGCUGACCAGGGCCUGCUCCAUGCCGGUUCCGAGCCUCCAGAGUGGGUUCCCAGAUUUAGCAAUAAAAGUAAAGAACUUGCGGUGCAAUCUGCACUUUAGGUGAGCGGAAAAGCAUGUCUGGUGUGAGGAUGUGCUGUACCAGCCUGCUUUUCAUGCUUUAAUGUGACCACUGCUGGCUUCCCUCAGUGGCUGCCCUAAGUCUGCACAUGUCUUCUGAUGGAGGCAAACCCACCAUCAGUCCUUGGAAGGAGUUAUCUUGAGUGCCUCUGAGCGGAAAAGAAGGGAAUACAGACUUUGGUGGUGUCUUGCUAUGCAACUGAGGUGAUACACAACUUCUUGCUUCUCCUACAGCUAGGAGCAGUGAGUGUGAUUCAAUUCAACCAAUAGAAAGUACAAUGCAGUGGCACUGAAGAUAAAGAGGGACGUGGCGAGAGGACUCCAGAGGGACUCCAAAGAGCACCAGUGAUGCGAAGACAGUUCAUUGAUCCUCUGGCCGCUGCGGGCGUGGGAGCAUUUCCCUUGGUUUUCAACCAACAUUAAAUAACAUAUUUGAGA